GAUGAACGCUGGCGGCGUGCUUAACACAUGCAAGUCGAACGAAGCAUUUGCGACAGAUUUUUUCGGAAUGAAGUUGCUUAUGACUGAGUGGCGGACGGGUGAGUAACGCGUGGGUAACCUGCCUUGUACUGGGGGAUAGCAGCGGGAAACGGCUGGUAAUACCGCAUAAGCGCACAAUGUUGCAUGACAUGGUGUGAAAAACUCCGGUGGUAUAAGAUGGACCCGCGUCUGAUUAGCUAGUUGGUGAGAUAACAGCCCACCAAGGCGACGAUCAGGAGCCGACCUGAGAGGGUGACCCGCCACAUUGGGACUGAGACACGGCCCAGACUCCUACGGGAGGCAGCAGUGGGGAAUAUUGCACAAUGGAGGAAACUCUGAUGCAGCGACGCCGCGUGAGUGAAGAAGUAAUUCGUUAUGUAAAGCUCUAUCAGCAGGGAAGAUAGUGACGGUACCUGACUAAGAAGCUCCGGCUAAAUACGUG
rnacentral:rRNA from 1 species